ACCAGAGAGGAGGAAUGCAAAGAAAAAAUUCAUAUUAUUACACACGCACACACUGAAAAACCCUAGAAUACUGAUAACACGCAUUCAGAGCAGCAAAACUCAACCAAAAUCAAGACCAAUUUUCAAAGAAAGCAGAAAGCGGGGAGUUUAAAAUGAACCUAAGGAUUAGGCAACAUUCUCUAUGCUAAAGGACUUGGCCAAUGCCAACAUCUGAGAAUGAGCCAUUCUUGACGAGUGACUUUCAUCUGAUGCAAGACUUUGGAUCUCUUUGGUUCAUCUGCUAUCAUGUCUUUGGGCUUAAACUCUUACUUUGUUAUGAUCUUUGUCUGAUGUUUUGCUCUGAGUUGAUAAAGGAAUAUUUCAUCUGUUACAUGGGAAGACACUGAAGACUGCUAGCUAUUGGAAUGCUUUCUUGGAUAUGGCUAUCUUUAUUUGAUUCCUUGAUCUUUAUGAUGUCUGGAUGUUUCUCAUUGCUUAUUGCUUAUUGCUUAUUGCUUAUUGCUUGAUCAAAGUCCAAAGGAAAA